ACACAUGCAAGUCGAACGGUAACAGGAAACAGCUUGCUGUUUCGCUGACGAGUGGCGGACGGGUGAGUAAUGUCUGGGAAACUGCCUGAUGGAGGGGGAUAACUACUGGAAACGGUAGCUAAUACCGCAUAACGUCGCAAGACCAAAGAGGGGGACCCUCGGGCCUCUUGCCAUCGGAUGUGCCCAGAUGGGAUUAGCUUGUUGGUGGGGUAACGGCUCACCAAGGCGACGAUCCCUAGCUGGUCUGAGAGGAUGACCAGCCACACUGGAACUGAGACACGGUCCAGACUCCUACGGGAGGCAGCAGUGGGGAAUAUUGCACAAUGGGCGCAAGCCUGAUGCAGCCAUGCCGCGUGUAUGAAGAAGGCCUUCGGGUUGUAAAGUACUUUCAGCGGGGAGGAAGGGAGUAAAGUUAAUACCUUUGCUCAUUGACGUUACCCGCAGAAGAAGCACCGGCUAACUCCGUGCCAGCAGCCGCGGUAAUACGGAGGGUGCAAGCGUUAAUCGGAAUUACUGGGCGUAAAGCGCACGCAGGCGGUUUGUUAAGUCAGAUGUGAAAUCCCCGGGCUCAACCUGGGAACUGCAUCUGAUACUGGCAAGCUUGAGUCUCGUAGAGGGGGGUAGAAUUCCAGGUGUAGCGGUGAAAUGCGUAGAGAUCUGGAGGAAUACCGGUGGCGAAGGCGGGCCCCUGGACGAAGACUGACGCUCAGGUG
rnacentral:rRNA from 1 species